GUGGGGAUAAGUUGGUACCUCGAGUGAGCAUAUCAUUUUUCACCUUUACUAUCAGAUCCAUGAUCCAAUCCUAAACCCUUGCUGGUCCAAAAAUCUAAAAUCAACCUUCUUGCCAGUUGUGAUAGCUCAAGAUGCCAUAGAAAUCUAAACUGGAGCAGAGGUUGAUGAAGAUGGGGUGGAUCGAGCAGAACCUCUGCAUGGCCUCUUCGACGAACAAGUUUUACUUGAUCCAGCUGCUAGUCAUUUCUUUGCCUUAGCCGUACAAGAUUUUGAAGCCAUGUCUCGAGAAUCAAAGUGGAUGAGUGUUGGAUGAAGAGAAAAGAUGAGAUUUUUGAAGGGAAUGGACUUAGAGCCGGAAAAUGGAGGAAUAGGGCAAGCUCGGGUGAACAAUGAAUAGGGUUUUUGAAAAAAUUAAAAGUUUUAAAAGCUAGAUC
rnacentral:lncRNA from 1 species